AUGCCGGAUGCUCCAGUUGACCGCAUGGUCCUCUGGGAAAGCUUUUGCGGUAUGGGAUGGGGUCGCGUCCUAUCAGCUUGAUGGCGGGGUAACGGCCCACCAUGGCUUCGACGGGUAGCCGGCCUGAGAGGGCGACCGGCCACAUUGGGACUGAGAUACGGCCCAGACUCCUACGGGAGGCAGCAGUGGGGAAUAUUGCACAAUGGGCGCAAGCCUGAUGCAGCGACGCCGCGUGCGGGAUGACGGCCUUCGGGUUGUAAACCGCUUUUGACUGGGAGCAAGCCCUUCGGGGUGAGUGUACCUUUCGAAUAAGCACCGGCUAACUACGUGCCAGCAGCCGCGGUAAUACGUAGGGUGCAAGCGUUAUCCGGAAUUAUUGGGCGUAAAGGGCUCGUAGGCGGUUCGUCGCGUCCGGUGUGAAAGUCCAUCGCUUAACGGUGGAUCCGCGCCGGGUACGGGCGGGCUUGAGUGCGGUAGGGGAGACUGGAAUUCCCGGUGUAACGGUGGAAUGU
rnacentral:rRNA from 1 species